UACGUAGGGUGCAAGCGUUGUCCGGAUUUACUGGGCGUAAAGAGCGCGCAGGCGGUCGUUCAAGUCGCGUGUGAAAGCCCCCGGCUCAACUGGGGAGGGUCACGCGAUACUGAUCGACUCGAAGGCAGGAGAGGGAAGUGGAAUUCCCGGUGUAGUGGUGAAAUGCGUAGAUAUCGGGAGGAACACCAGUGGCGAAGGCGACUUCCUGGCCUGUUCUUGACGCUGAGGCGCGAAAGCUAGGGUAGCAAACGGG
rnacentral:rRNA from 1 species